rnacentral:rRNA from 1 species
CCUUUUAUAGACCCCAGCUGGCACGGGAGCCUGGACUGAGGUGAGCGACUGCCGUACUCUUGACCAAAGACUAGCCCCCAUGGUGCAGGACUACACGUAGGCCUUUACAGCAAGGGAUAGAUGUAUGGUCAAGCAGGUAGUUCCAGGAUGCUGACGAAAUGGUCUUAAACGACCCGUCUUGAAACACGGACCAAGGAGUCUAACAUAUAUGCGAGUAUUUGGGUGGCAAACCCGGGUGCGUAAUAAAAGUGAUUUGGAUGAGAGCGUGUCCCUCGGGGUGCGUGCAUCAUCGACCGAACCUUGAUGUCCUCUGAUAGGUUUGAGUAAGAGCAUAUCUGUUGGGACCCGAAAGGUAGUGAACUAUGCCUGGAUAGGAUGAAGCCAGAGGAAACUCUGGUGGAGGUCCGUAGCCGUUUUGACGUGCAAAUCGAUGGUCAAAUCUGGGUAUAGGGGCGAAAGACUAAUCGAACUACCUAGUAGCUGGUUCCCUCCGAAGUUUCCCUCAGGAUAGCUGGCACUUGUACAGUUUUAUCAGGUAAAGCGAAUGAUUAGAGGCCUUGGGGUAAUAAUUACCUUAACCUAUUCUCAAACUUUAAAUGGGUAAGAAGUCUGUGGUCACUUUAUUGGACUUGGACGUUGAAUGAAAGUGCCUAGUGGGCCAUUUUUGGUAAGCAGAACUGGCGAUGCGGGAUGAACCGAACGCCGAGUUAAGGUGCCAGAGUACACGCUCAUCAGAUACCAUAAAAGGUGUUAGUUCAUCUAG